UCCCUAAUAUUAAUAAGUAGUACAUAUGCUUCGCCCCGCUAUAAUCUCUCUCGCGCCUGUCACGUCUCGCGCUUCACAGCGCCGUCAGCACCACAGACAGCAACGGUGGCCCAGAGCAACUCCAGCCCGGACAGCGCCGCGCUGAUUGCCGUGAUUAUUCAAUCAUCCGGAGCCAGCCGUCGCAGAUAUCCUCCGGCGGCUGCAAGCAAUUAGGACACCGCCAGCUUCGCUGUAUUAAGGCGUCUUACCCUUCAAGUUUGAGUCUGCUUUCCCUGAGACUUCAACCGCUGUGGCGCUCGUUUCGGAGACAGAACCAGAGGCGGAAGCCCUCGGCGCCCUCGAACCCCGGGCCUUGACCGUCCCAGCCAUAGCUCCACAUCUCCCCCUCUGAACCUACUCACGCCUUUUUUCCUAUGUUGUUUAUAAACAUAGUCCGUGUGGCUAGUCUUAUUAUACAACCUUAUAAAAUAAAAAAUAAAAACAUUUCUUGAUAGCAUUUUAGAUAUCAAAGUAUUUUACAUUUACAGGAACGAUCUACUGGCAAAUCCCAAAUGGACAAUUCCGAAUGCAGCUAAAAAAGAUAAGUAACGACGCAAAAUAAAAUUCCAUUUGACGGGCUUUUCAGAUGUUUACCCCCGCGUGGUAUUUCUUUCAGUAAAAAAUUAAUAGAAUAAUGUUCCACGUUCCAACGAGGAAAACUGUAUAAUUAAUGCCUAAUCACGCCGCACCUUCAGUUCCAGACUAGUACUGAUUGCACGCGGUGCUCCCGGAUGAUUUGCCAGAUGCACGCUCGUGUGUGUUUAAUUUUGGUGGGGGGGUGGGGGGGGAGCGUUCCUUUGAUUCGGGCGUACGUUUUGGAAUGCGUGAUUCGUGCGACGGCAACAGCAUUUGCAUUUAAAUGCCUUUGACAGUAAACGCGAUUACCAUAGCGAUUUCUCGCUGGUGGCGAACAGAAGAAGGCAGAUUUGAGUUAACCCUCCGAAGCAGGCCCCGGAUAGACCCUUCGCUCAGGCAAUGACGUUCUCCCCCUCUUUUUUUUUUACCGGUAAAUGAAAUUGCACGACCGAGUAUUGGAUCACUGCGCCACCAUUACGGUCUCCAGACCCCUAAAUAACCAUGUUCCCUCCUGACUCGCAGCUGUAGGCCUACCUGACAGGGAACAUCGCUGCUCUGAGUGAUUAUUCAUCACUGAUUGCAGGCGCUUUUGCAGCGCACUGAACCAGACUGUCAGAUUUGUACGGGAUUGUGACAGAUCACCACCCGCGAUUCUGUCUGUGGAACUGGUCUGCACUUGGUGCUAUGUCAUUGCGCUGCUAACUACAGCACCCGUAGCAGAGGGGCCUGAAUUUCUUAAGCGUAUAUAUAUAUCCAGUAUAUGCGCACGUCAGAUUCUGAUUUGAUACUGUGGCUGGAGAAGUCCCUGCAGAUUUUCCUUACGGAAACAUCUAUUUUCAUCGACAUUCGUAACAGAAUUCGUCUUCUGCAUCAUAGUAAAUUUUGGCUGGUAGUAUUUUGUUUUAAUUUUUAUUGGAAAAAAAAAAAAAAACCCUGGGUCUGUUAGAGUGAUUUAAACAUUUUACCAGUAUCUGAAAGAGUUAAAAUAUUUGAACAAGGUCUGGUCCCGAUGUACGGAUGGAUAAAAACAAGCAAAUAUAAGCACAGUUUGUUACCCUGGAACUGGAAUUAAAUCAUGUAGCAAUCUGGGCUGUUGGUGGCACCACCCGCGGCAGAGAGUCCUUGGAUGACAUAAAUCAUUUCAACAGUGUCUGUAAAUAAUCCACGUUUCAUUUCUCUGUACAGACUUCAAGAGAACACACUGUGUGGCUUGAAUAAAAGCUAAAAUUCACAAAUUUGAAAACGGAGGACCCAGGAUAAUUCAAGCUCCCCCCUUUCUGGGGCCUUCAGUGGUUUUCUCGUAAUUUCCCUGCUUAGCUGCUCAUUUCCCCCAGCUGCGUCGCCACGGUCCGCCAUUCUGCCUCCACAGUCCACCAUUCUGGCUCCGCGGUCCACCAUUCCGGCUCUGUUUCCCUCCAAGGGACCCUUUUUGUCAGAAUUGCCUGGGAACUGCCAUCCCUCAGAGGAAAACGCCGUUUGACCAUUAGCUCCGUUGACAUGAGAAGCAAGUAGCCAAUGGGAACGCGCAGGCUCAUCUUGAACACCCCAUUCGCCACACCCCGAUGGUCGCAGGUCAAACGGAAACGGGACUUUAAUAGCAACGACCUGAUGCAACCGCACUGCAAAUGUUUGAAAUCGGAUCAAAAAAUCUGACUCCAUUUUUCUUUUUUCUUUUUUUUUUUU